GAAACCAUUGAGGAUUGAAAAUGAGGUCGAUUCUAAUAUAAAGAAUACAAUCGAAUAUACGUUUAUCACGCCUAGUGCUAUUGAAAAGGGACAAGGACGAGGGCUUAAAUCAUUGGAUGAGAAAUGAAAUUUACCAUCUAAGAGUAUAUUUCCUCAAUCAAGUGAUCUAUUUAAGAAGCACAUCAAAGAAACUGAAACAAGUUCUACAGGGAAGGAACAGGAACAAGGACUUAAAAACUCUACCGUGUCCACUAGUCAAGGAAUACGAACGACGCAUAAGAACUUCACGACUUUUGAGAAAGACAACGCUAAAAUUAGUACUUCAUCUCGCACAUCUACUUAUCAAGUAAAGAAAUACACCCAAGAAGUUGAAACAAGCUCAACUCUAUGAAAUUGUUCAAGAAGAUCCAUCUCUACCUACGGUAGAGCUUGUUCAAAAUUUUUGUGGACCUCAAACUCGUAGCCAUGUAUUUGGAUUUGGGGGUGGAGUAAAGUCAAAAGAUUUGAAAGGUGGAACUUCAUCAAAUUCUCAAUUGGAUAUCAAAUCCUUGAACGAAGAAAACAACUCCUUAAAUGAUCGCUUGUCUACCAUAGAAGAUGAGAUGAAAGAAAUAAUGAAAAUGAAAGAAUUCUUCAAUGCUCAACAAUCAUAUGUCCCACCUGCAACAUCGUCCUCCUCAACUGAAUGACCACAGUCUUUUCAAUUGACCAGGAUCCUUUGAGAAUUGCAAUCCUUCAAGAUCUUGCACUUGAUGAAGUAUCUCAUUACCGGAACUCACUUUUGGUGGGGACAUUUUCUCUGUUGUACCAUAAAAUGAGUCCUUCGCACUUCUACAUUUGUGAUUCUGAGAAAGGUAACGUCGAUAACCUAUAAAAUAAUGCUUCUUAAC